GGCAUGUCCGGCCCUCUUCCCUGGUGCUGCCCUUCCACCUCUGCCCAGGAGGCUGCAGGGCCCAUGGAGGUCCUCGGGGGCCAGGGAUUGGGCCCAAGCCUGAGGGAGGCCAGUCUUUCCUGGCUUGGGCCUGCUUGUGGGCUCCCUUGCACCUGUUAAUGGUGGGUUUUGUAGUGUCACAAAAGGCGUCACAUCCAGCUUUCUCUUUCCUCUGCAGAAGGCAAUAGUCCAAUGACAGCUGUCACGCAUGUGGUCAACACCCGAAGAAGGUAACCGAGUCUCCACACCUUGGGGAUGCAGAGUGCGUCCACGGAGCUGACGUUUCACUUAUUAGCUUCAUUGUUCGUGCCGAGAAAGAUAUCCCAGGCCUUCUUGCUGUGUUUGCUCUGCCUUGCAGGCCUUUUCCACUUGGCCUGAAAAGGCAGGGCCCUGACUGACGCCAGCUGAGAUGACAUAAUUAUUGAAGAUCUGUAGGGGUUCCGGUUCCGGUCUCUGCCAUGGUAACAUCUCUCCCAUUGUGGGACCAGACUCAGAUGGAGGGGAGAGGGUUACCUGAGGCUGUAAAACCCUCCGAAAACCCCUGAAGGCAGUCGGAGGACAAGGGCACCUGUGGAUGUCUUUGUGCCUGCUCCUGCUGCUGAAGAAGCAAGAGGGUUAAGAUACUGUGUCUCAAGCCCUCCGCCGCUGAGGCAGUCUCCAAGUCCGCCAUUGCAAGACACAGAGCUCCUUCACAAUUUGGAAUAUUGGAUCAAAAUUAAAGGACCUCAGAUGUUACGCAGCUGCCAAUGAUAAGAAGCUGAGGGAACUGGCGGCCAGCAACGUAUCUUCGCUGCUGGCCUAUGCCAAAAGGUUCCCCAACCUCAAAAAGGCAAUAGUCCAACGACAGCUGUCAUGUAUGUGGCCAGCACCCGAAGAAGGUAACCGAGUCUCCACAUCUUGGGGAUGCAGAGUGUGUCCACAGAGCUGACGUUUCACUUAUUAGCUUUAUUGUUUGACAUCCCAGGCCUUCUUGCAGUGUUUGCUGUGCCUUGCAGGCCUUUUCCACUUGGCCUGAGAAGGCAGGGCCCUGACUCCAGCUACAAAAAUGGCGUCUCUCCCAUUCUGGGACCAGACUCAGACGGAGGGGAGGGGGGUUACCUGAGGCUGUUAAAACCCUCCGAAAACCCCUGAACACAGUUGGGCGACAAGGGCACCUGUGAAUGUCUUUGUGCCUGUUCCUGCUGAAGAAGAAGCAAGGGGGUUAUGAUGCUGUGUCUCAAGCCCUCCGCCGCUGAGGCAGUCUCCAAGUCCAUCAUUGCAAGACGCAGAGCUCCUUCUUAAUUUGGAAUAUUGGAUCAAAAUUAAAGGUGCCUCCAGAUAUUUGGACAGUGAGGUGUAAUCUGAAUGAGACUAUUGAGAUUGAGGGAUGAAAUUAGAGGGUCCUGCCUUGAUUAAAAAUGGAGAGAAUUAUUAAUUUUAUUAUUAUUAUUUAAAGUCUGCAAGGACUUAACACCUACCCCAUCUGGAUUAAAGAAAUGAAAGUAUCACAAGUGAGGUCUGUUAAAGGACAGGUGGAAGUUUGUGAAAUGCUUGAAAUUCCUUUUCUAAAAUGGAUUACAGACUAAGAGAGGACCGGACAUAAAUUUCCAACUUAGUGAACUGUGCUGAUAUCAGACUAUCAUCUAAGUGAUGAGAGGGGAACCAUUGUCUGGAAAAUAAAGAAAAUUGUACAGGAAGAUUUUUGGAUAAAUGGAUCUGGCAUUAAGGUUAGCCAUCAGGAAAACAAAAUGACUAUAGAAGAGCAAAAAACUGAUGGAGAAAACUGGAUUUAAAAGUGAAAAAGAAUAAGUAUUUAAGUUUUGCUGUA